rnacentral:rRNA from 1 species
GGGAAUUUUGGACAAUGGGCGCAAGCCUGAUCCAGCAAUGCCGCGUGCAGGAAGAAGGCCUUCGGGUUGUAAACUGCUUUUGUACGGAACGAAACGGUCCUGGUUAAUACCUGGGGCUAAUGACGGUACCGUAAGAAUAAGCACCGGCUAACUACGUGCCAGCAGCCGCGGUAAUAGAUCUGGAUCCCCUCUAGAGUCGA